GCGUCGACUUUAAGGUAAGACCUCGAGUUUUUAAGUUAUUCUUUAGGUAUUUUUUACCUAGGUCAGGAUGUCUAGUAGUAGCAGUAGCGACACUUCGUCCUCAUCAUCCUCGAGGAGUACUCCCGAGGACGUAGGAGGCUCAAUCAUACCUAUGGCUGUCCCAAUUAAUGCCCAACCUCGGGCACAAAGUAUCCCGACCCCUUUUAGGUAUCCCGAGGUCCCCUGUAAAUUUAAAGAAC
rnacentral:lncRNA from 1 species